AAAAUGCGGGGGGCUCGCCCCUUUCUUUUUAACCUGUGCACUGUUUAUUAGGCGUGGUAUUGAUUUUCAAUUCCCGCCGCCCGGGUGGCAUGAAUCAGUUCCCUUAGGGGGGCCGAGGAGUGCGCCCAAUUAUUUGACUAUUCUGACUGAUCAAACAAUGAAAUUGUUAACAUAUAAA
rnacentral:misc_RNA from 1 species